UAGCCGUAAACGAUACUCGCUAGGUGUCGGCCACGGUGCGACCGUUGUCGGUGCCGUAGGGAAGCCGUGAAGCGAGCCACCUGGGAAGUACGGCCGCAAGGCUGAAACUUAAAGGAAUUGGCGGGGGAGCACCACAACGGGUGGAGCUUGCGGUUUAAUUGGAUUCAACGCCGGAAAUCUUACCGGGACCGACAGCAACAUGAAGGCCAAGCUGAAGACUUUGCCGGAUUAGCUGAGAGGUGGUGCAUGGCGUCAGUGACU
rnacentral:rRNA from 1 species